UACGGGGGGGGCAACCGUUGUUCGGAAUUACUGGGCGUAAAGGGCUCGUAGGUGGCCAACUAAGUCAGACGUGAAAUCCCUCGGCUUAACCGGGGAACUGCGUCUGAUACUGGAUGGCUUGAGUUCGGGAGAGGGAUGCGGAAUUCCAGGUGUAGCGGUGAAAUGCGUAGAUAUGUGGAGGAACACCGAUGGCGAAGGCAGCCCCCUGGGUUAACACUGACGCUCAUGCACGAAAGCGUGGGGAGCAAACAGG
rnacentral:rRNA from 1 species